GAUGAAGAACGUAGCGAAAUGCGAUAAGUAAUGUGAAUUGCAGAAUUCAGUGAAUCAUCGAAUCUUUGAACGCACAUUGCGCCCCCUGGUAUUCCGGGGGGCAUGCCUGUCCGAGCGUCAUUGCUGCCCUCAAGCACGGCUUGUGUGUUGGGCCUCCGUCCUCCUCCCGGGGGACGGGCCCGAAAGGCAGCGGCGGCACCGCGUCCGGUCCUCGAGCGUAUGGGGCUUCGUCACCCGCUCUUGUAGGCCCGGCCGGCGCUUGCCGACACAUCAAUCUUUUUUCCAGGUUGACCUCGGAUCGGGUAGGGAUACCCGCUGAACUUAAGCAUAUCAUAAGCGGAGGA
rnacentral:misc_RNA from 1 species